CCUACGGGUGGCAGCAGUGAGGAAUAUUGGUCAAUGGCCGGAAGGCUGAACCAGCCAAGUCGCGUGAGGGACGACUGCCCUAUGGGUUGUAAACCUCUUUUAUAAGGGAACAAUAGAUGCUACGUGUAGCAUUCUGACUGUACCUUAUGAAUAAGCAUCGGCUAACUCCGUGCCAGCAGCCGCGGUAAUACGGAGGAUGCGAGCGUUAUCCGGAUUUAUUGGGUUUAAAGGGUGCGUAGGCGGGUUUUUAAGUUAGUGGUAAAAUGUCGGGGCUAAACCUUGUUUUGCCAUUGAUACUGUUAGACGUGAGUGAGGACGAGGUAGGCGGAAUGAGUGGUGUAGCGGUGAAAUGCUUAGAUAUAACGCAGAACGCCGAUUGCGAAGGCAGCUUACCAGACUGCAACUGACGCUGAUGCACGAGAGCGUGGGUAGCGAACAGGAUUAGAUACCCCAGUAGUC
rnacentral:rRNA from 1 species